GAUGAAGAACGCAGCGAAAUGCGAUAAGUAAUGUGAAUUGCAGAAUUCAGUGAAUCAUCGAAUCUUUGAACGCACAUUGCGCCCGCCAGUAUUCUGGCGGGCAUGCCUGUUCGAGCGUCAUUUCAACCAUCAAGCCCCCGGCUUGUGUUGGGGACCUGCGGCUGCCGCAGGCCCUGAAAACCAGUGGCGGGCUCGCUAGUCACUCCGAGCGUAGUAAUACAUCUCGCUCAGGGCGUGCUGCGGGUUCCGGCCGUUAAAAAGCCUUAUUUACCCAAGGUUGACCUCGGAUCAGGUAGGAAGACCCGCUGAACUUAAGCACAUCAAUAAGCGGAGGA
rnacentral:misc_RNA from 1 species